rnacentral:rRNA from 1 species
GAUGAACGCUGGCGGCGUGCUUAACACAUGCAAGUCGAACGAGAAAUGUAGACGGACACCUUCGGGCGGAAGCCUUCAUUUCGAGUGGCGGACGGGUGAGUAACGCGUGGGUAACCUGCCUCAUACAGGGGGAUAACAGUUGGAAACGACUGUUAAUACCGCAUAAGACCACAGCAUCGCAUGAUGCGGGGGUAAAAACUCCGGUGGUAUGAGAUGGACCCGCGUUCGAUUAGCCAGUUGGCGGGGUAACGGCCCACCAAAGCGACGAUCGAUAGCCGAUCUGAGAGGAUGACCGGCCACAUUGGGACUGAGACACGGCCCAAACUCCUACGGGAGGCAGCAGUGGGGAAUAUUGCACAAUGGGGGAAGCCCUGAUGCAGCGACGCCGCGUGAGUGAAGAAGUACUUCGGUAUGUAAAGCUCUAUCAGCAGGGAAGAAAAUGACGGUACCUGAGGAAGAAGCCCCGGCUAACUACGUG